CGCCCAACGUGGGGCUCGAACCCACGACCCUGAGUCUCAUGCUCUACCGACUGAGCUAGCCCGGGC